UACGGGGGGGGCAAGCGUUGUUCGGAAUUACUGGGCGUAAAGGGCUCGUAGGCGGCCAACUAAGUCAGACGUGAAAUCCCCAGGCUCAACCUGGGAACUGCGUCUGAUACUGGAUGGCUUGAAUCCGGGAGAGGGAUGCAGAAUUCCAGGUGUAGCGGUGAAAUGCGUAGAUAUCUGGAGGAAUACCGGUGGCGAAGGCGGCAUCCUGGACCGGCAUUGACGCUGAGGCGCGACAGCGUGGGGAGCAAACAGG
rnacentral:rRNA from 1 species